rnacentral:rRNA from 1 species
AUUGAACGCUGGCGGCAGGCCUAACACAUGCAAGUCGAACGAGUGGCGGACGGGUGAGUAAUGUCUGGGAAACUGCCUGAUGGAGGGGGAUAACUACUGGAAACGGUAGCUAAUACCGCAUACCAUCAGAUGUUCCCAGAUGGGAUUAGCUUGUUGGUGGGGUAACGGCUCACCAAGGCGACGAUCCCUAGCUGGUCUGAGAGGAUGACCAGCAACACGGGAACGAGGACACGGGCCGAGUCCCUACGGGGGGCAGCAGUGGGGAAUAUGGCACAAUGGGCGCAAGCCUGAUGCAGCCAUGCCGGGUGUAGGAAGAAGGCCUUCGGGUUGUAAAGUACUUUCAGCGGGGAGGCGUUACCAGCAGAAGAAGCACCGGCUAACUCCGUGCCAGCAGCCGCGGUAAUU